UAUACACUGCCAUAUCUCAUCUCUCUUUCCUCUUAGCUGCACUGCCCUGUGAAGGAACCAUUUUAGAAAUGGCCCUUCUCUUGGGGAGCUUUUAGCUCGUUGAUCAUUUUUGGUACAUGCUUGCUUUCAAGUUCACUUGAAACACGAGCAGUAAUUUGGACAAAGGCCUUUUUAAGCACAUAUGCUUUCUGAAUCUGGUGGUGGUUUAUCUAUAUCAAUUAGUACCAUAGAAUAAUUUGCGAAUAUGAAUGGGCUAUUUAUUCACUUGCAGCAUCUGCUCCUGUCGAGAUUUCUCGACCUCUUUCUUGGGAUUCUUUCUUAGCUACACCUCGCCUCUUUGUAGUUUAGAAUAGAAUACGUUCUUUAUAAGUUAGAAGUUUUGCUUUGUUUAAUAUCACCAUUUUUUUUUUACAUUGCCUUUUGCAGUUCAACUAUGACCAAAGUGCAUAUGGAUUCCGAGAAUUCUUCAAACGACAUGGAAUGCAGACAUCUGCAUCAUCAUCUAGUUAAAGUUGAUGCUGCUCAUUUGUUCCAGUGUUGACAGAAAUCUAUCUUACAUUCGGCCAUGGAGUGUCUUCAACGUGGGAUGUAGCACUAUACUUAAGACUGGUUAAAAGCUGAUGGCCUAACGGGUCAUGUAGCCCAUAACACUAGAGAGAGCCCAACAUCUUGGGCAUUUGCACUCAGAAAUUGAAACAAGAAUAUAACAAGAUUCUCAGGAAUUGUAUAUGUAUCAAUCUAAAGAUUAUUAGCAGGACCCAUUCUCUAUUAAACUAAAUCACACUACAUAAUGCUAUUGAUGUGUUGUUGACCACGCGGCAUGAAAAUGAUGUUUC